UACGGGGGGGGCAAGCGUUGUUCGGAAUUACUGGGCGUAAAGGGCUCGUAGGCGGCCAACUAAGUCAGACGUGAAAUCCCUCGGCUUAACCGGGGAACUGCGUCUGAUACUGGAUGGCUUGAGAUUGGGAGAGGGAUGCGGAAUUCCAGGUGUAGCGGUGAAAUGCGUAGAUAUCCGGAGGAACACCAGUGGCGAAGGCGACUUUCUGGCCUGUUCUUGACGCUGAGGCGCGAAAGCUAGGGGAGCAAACGGG
rnacentral:rRNA from 1 species